rnacentral:rRNA from 1 species
UUGAACGCUGGCGGCAUGCUUUACACAUGCAAGUCGAACGGUAACAGGCCUUCGGGUGCUGACGAGUGGCGAACGGGUGAGUAAUGCAUCGGAACGUACCCAGAGGUGGGGGAUAACGCAGCGAAAGCUGUGCUAAUACCGCAUGUGAUCUGAGGAUGAAAGCGGGGGACCGAGCAGCAAUGUUUGGCCUCGCGCCUUUGGAGCGGCCGAUGUCGGAUUAGCUAGUUGGUGGGGUAAAGGCCUACCAAGGCGACGAUCCGUAGCUGGUCUGAGAGGACGACCAGCCACACUGGGACCGAGACACGGCCCAGACUCCUACGGGAGGCAGCAGUGGGGAAUUUUGGACAAUGGGCGCAAGCCUGAUCCAGCAAUGCCGCGUGCGGGAAGAAGGCCUUCGGGUUGUAAACCGCUUUUGGCAGGAACGAAACGGUGUCCGCUAAUACCGGGCGCUAAUGACGGUACCUGCAGAAUAAGCACCGGCUAACUACGUG